GGCUUGCGUCUUAAGGGCUGGGUCUGCGGACGGAUUCGAGGCGAUUUCAAUUGCAUUUGCUACCUAUUUAGG